CUACGGGAGGCACCAGUAGGGAAUAUUGGACAAUGGGCGAAAGCCUGAUCCAGCAACACCGCGUGCACGAUGACGGCCUUCGGGUUGUAAAGUGCUUUUAGAGGAGAUGAGAAAGGACAGUAUCCUCUGAAUAAGCCUCGGCGAACUACGUGCCAGCAGCCGCGGUAAAACGUAGGAGGCAAGCGUUAUCCGGAUUUAUGGGGCGUAAAGCGCGUGCAGGCGGUCUAGCAAGUUGGAUGUGAAAGCUCCCGGCUCAACUGGGAGAGGCCGUUCAAUACUGUUAGACUAGAGAAUAGGAGAGGGAGGUGGAAUUCCGGGUGUAGUGGUGAAAUGCGUAGAUAUCCGGAGGAACACCAGUGGCGAAAGCGGCCUCCUGGACUAUUUCUGACGCUAAGACGCGAAAGCUAGGGUAGCAAACGGGAUUAGAUACCCUCGUAGUC
rnacentral:rRNA from 1 species